rnacentral:rRNA from 1 species
UACGUAGGGUCCAAGCGUUGUUCGGAUUUACUGGGCGUAAAGGGCGCGUAGGCGGCGCGGUAAGUCACUUGUGAAAUCUCUGAGCUUAACUCGGAACGGCCAAGUGAUACUGCAGUGCUAGAGUGUGGAAGGGGCAAUCGGAAUUCUUGGUGUAGCGGUGAAAUGCGUAGAUAUCAAGAGGAACACCUGAGGUGAAGACGGGUUGCUGGGCCAACACUGACGCUGAGGCGCGAAAGCCAGGGGAGCAAACGGG